AAGACCUUGCACUUUUGGAGCGGCCGAUGUCUGAUUAGCUAGUUGGUGGGGUAAUGGCCUACCAAAGCUUCGAUCAGUAGCUGGUCUGAGAGGACGGCCAGCCACACUGGGACUGAGACACGGCCCAGACUCCUACGGGAGGCAGCAGUGGGGAAUUUUGGACAAUGGGCGCAAGCCUGAUCCAGCCAUGCCGCGUGAGUGAAGAAGGCCUUCGGGUUGUAAAGCUCUUUCAGCCGGGAAGAAAAGGUUGCGACUAAUAAUCGCAAUUCAUGACGGUACCGAAAGAGGAAGCACCGGCUAACUACGUGCCAGCAGCCGCGGUAAUACGUAGGGUGCGAGCGUUAAUCGGAAUUACUGGGCGUAAAGGGUGCGCAGGCGGUUUUGUAAGUCAGAUGUGAAAUCCCCGGGCUUAACCUGGGAACU
rnacentral:rRNA from 1 species